rnacentral:rRNA from 1 species
GACGAACGCUGGCGGCGUGCUUAACACAUGCAAGUCGAACGGAAAGGCCCUGCUUUUGUGGGGUGCUCGAGUGGCGAACGGGUGAGUAACACGUGAGUAACCUGCCCUUGACUUUGGGAUAACUUCAGGAAACUGGGGCUAAUACCGGAUAGGAUCUCCUGCUGCAUGGUGGGGGUUGGAAAGUUUCGGCGGUUGGGGAUGGACUCGCGGCUUAUCAGCUUGUUGGUGGGGUAGUGGCUUACCAAGGCUUUGACGGGUAGCCGGCCUGAGAGGGUGACCGGCCACAAUGGGACUGAGAGACGGCGCAGACGCCUACGGGAGGCAGCAGGGGGGAAUAUUGCACAAUGGGCGGAAGCCUGAGGCAGCAACGCCGCGUGCGGGAUGACGGCCUUCGGGUGGUAAACCGCUGUCGCAUGUGACGAAGCGUGAGUGACGGUAAUGGGUAAAGAAGCACCGGCUAACUACGUG